CUCAGUGCUCUUCUGAGUCACCAGGCUAGGCACCGAGGUGCACCUCCAGUGGAUGAUACCGCCUUCCCUGCAGCAGGGGAAUGCUGCCUUUGGGAUGGCCCUCGUGGGAAGUGGGUUUGGGAUUUUGGUGCAUUGACCCGUGGGAGGUCCCUUAUGGGAAGUAAUUUUGAGAUUUUGGUGCAUUGACCUGUGGGAUAAUUCUUGUGGGAAGUGGGUUUGGGAUUUUGGUGCAUUGACCUGUGGGGUGUUCCUUGUGGGAAGUGGGUUUGGGAUUUUGGUGCAUUGACCUGUGGGGUGUUCCUUGUGGGAAGUGGGUUUGGGAUUUUGGUGCAUUGACCUGUGGGAUGUUCCUUGUGGGAAGUGGGUUUGGGAUUUUGGUGCAUUGACCUGUGGGGUGUUCCUUGUGGGAAGUGGGUUUGGGAUUUUGGUGCAUUGACCUGUGGGAUGUUCCGUGUGGGAAGUGGGUUUGGGAUUUUGGUGCAUUGACUUGUGGGAUGUCCCUUGUGAGAAGUGGGUUUGGGAUUUUGGUGCAUUGACCUGUGGGAUGUCCCUUGUGAGAAGUGCAUUUCGGACUCUGAUGCAUUGACCUGUGUCCUUGUCAUAGUUUGUGGAGCUGUUAUUCGGCUGGUGAACCUUGUGGGUUGUCCUCAACCAUCCUUCCACAUUUUUUCCAACACCUCUAGGAGCCUGCAGCAGGUUUGGACCUUCCCCUCCAGUGCUUUUCUCACAACAUUUGGAUUGUGACAUUAAACGGGGAAGAAAAAGCUGGUGUGAUGCCAACAGCUGCUUGUGCUGGCUCAAAGAAUUCGGGUGGCUCUGAGCUGUGUCACCUCGGUGUGCCACCACACACUGGUGACCAAGCAGGGCCUGGACACACAGAGUCACUGCUUUUCCCCCAGGCUGGUUUAGCAGGUCUGGACAAGCCAGGAUCUCCCUGAAGUCUUGGGCAAUCGGCUUCCCCGCUCCCUUCCCCACCACGCUUUCAUCUCUGCCUCUUCUGGGAAGCUUUGUGCAAUGCCUGAUGAGUGAUUGGCAUUUGGACAUGGCAGCAGCUCUGGCUGGAGCCCCACUGCUCGGGGUCUGGGGCUGUGGGGGCAGAACCCUCUCCUGGAAUGGGUGCAGGACAGAGCGUGCUGAGCCAGGGUUGUGCUUGUGGCUGUGUCAUCACUGCCAGGGGCUGGGGUUGGCAGGGGUGGCUUUGCGUGCCAAGCUGGGGAAAGGAGGCAUCUGGCUCUGCUGGCACGGGCUGACUGGCAGCCAAUGUAAACUCUUGGGUUUGAGCUGAAGCAAUUCCUGGGUCUCAUUCUCUUCCUGCCGUGAAAACACCUUUGUUCCAGCCCGGAACAGAAGCAGUUUGGCUUUCCCAGCAGCCAGGGCUGAAGGUGUCUUUCCUUGUGUCCUCCCUUGUGUCCUCCCUUGUGUCCUCCCUUGUGUCCUCCCUUGUGUCCUUCCAUGUGUCCUCCCUAGUGUCCUUCCUUGUGUCCUCCCUUGUGUCCUUCCUUGUGUUCUCCCUUGUGUCCUCCCUAGUGUCCUUCCUUGUGUCCUCCCUUGUGUCCUACCUCGUCUCCUUCCAUGUGUCCUCCCUUGUGUCCUCCAGGGCCACUGCUGACCAUGGUGGAGGAGGCAGAUGAAGGCUCAAGUUGCCCCUGGGGAGGUUUAGAUAUUGGGAAAACUUCUCCACCAUGAAGGUGGUCAGUGGUGGAGUCUCCAUCCCUGGGGGUGUUAAAACAUGUGGCAUAUGGGGACACGGGCUAGUGGUGGCCCUGGCACUGCUGGGCUUGAUGAUAGUAAAGCCUUUUCCAACUUAAACAAUCCUAAAAUUCUGUAAUUCUGAAACACCGGUGGGGGUUCUUGGGUUAUGGCAUGGGUUGGCUGUCCUGCAUCCAUCACAGAGCGACUCCCAGAGGAUACAGCCCAAGACUGGGUGUGGUGGAACAGCCAACAUUUAAUGGAAUAUCCAACACUAGCAACACCAGGAAGCAAAACAGGCAACAACUGCUGCAACAUGAAGCAGAUAAAGCAGAAGUCCUGACAGUUUCAAUUUAUCCCAUCACCCCACAAAGUCGUUCCAGACCCAGCUCUGCUGCCAGGACACCCUGGGGCUGCCUGCUCCCACCGCUCAGCUCCUGCCCUUCGUGGGGAAGCGCUGCCUGACCUGGAAGUGCUCACACCUCUUGUGCUUCAGGGACAGUCCGUAGAGCGGGGUCAUGUCCACCCUGCCGCCCUCGCAGACGCUGAACUCCAGCUGCUGGAGCAGCGUGGCCAGGAAGAGGAACACCUGCCACCUGGCAAUGUUCUCCCCGAUGCACCUCCUCUUCCCCAGGCCAAACACCAGCACCUUCUCCCCGUCCUCCUUGUUCACUUUGGUCCCGUCUGCGCUGAGGAAACGCUCGGGGUUGAAGGUUUCUGGGUCCUUCCAAAGCUUCCUGGAGGGAGAACAUCAGUGGAGGGGACCUGUCUGUCAGCACAGGAAAGGACCUGUUUGCCAGCAGAGGAGGGUUUGUGCCUCCCACGGUACUCACUCGUCGUGGUUCACUUGCCACUGGUUGACGAACACGCAGCGAUCCUUUGGGAUGAAGUAGCCGUUCAACACCGUGUCCUUGGUGGUGCUGGGGAGAGAAAAGAUGGAGAGCUGGGCAAGCCCAAAGGUUCUUCUGCAUCCUCAGGGGACUGCCAGGCUGCUCCUGAAGGGGUGGUUUGGGGGGACAGUUGUGUCCUCCACGAGCUGUAACGUGGUGCCUCAAGGCCACCUCGUCCCUGGAGCAGCUCUGCCAGCCCACCACCAUUCAGCACUGUCACUUUUGUGGUGCUGAAGGGAACACAGGUGGAAAGAGAAGUUAGAGGACACCCACAGCUCCUGACAAGCCAAAGACCAGCGAGUCCUGCAGGGGUUUCAUUUUCAAAGCCCUAUUUGUGCCCUCAGGACUGGCUAGGAAAUACCCCAGAUUGUAUUCGGGACGUUUAACAGUCUUGGUUUCCCUUUCCUCCAGCAGAAAAAUUCCAGUUUCACCUCACAGCUCAUUCCAGAUGAGUUUUGAUGCGGUUCCUCCCAAGCAAGGAAGAAAUAUAAACCCAGGGGUGCUCUGCCAGCAAAGGGAUCAAGUCCCCUCCAAAAACCCCAAAGGAGGUGUGGGCCGCUCCAGCCCGUACCUGUGUGGGAUGGCGAAGGGCAGGAAGGAGGAAUGCCUGAACAUCUCCAGGAUGAAGGCUUCCGUGUAGGGCAGCGUGCCCCGGUCCGACAGCCGCGGCCGCCGCUCCCGCCCGAUGGUGCGGUCUGGGGAGGUGGAGCAGCAACAGGCUCAGACAGGGCUGAGCACACAGGGCUGGGCUCUGGGGGGAUGCGGGUCCUGGACUCACCCAGCUCCUCCUGGAUCUUCUUCUGGAUGUUGGGGUUCGUCACAAGGUACAUGAGGCUCCAGGACAGGGCUGUGGUUACGGUGUCGAAGCCUG